GCCGGGGUAGCUCAGUUGGUAGAGCGCUGGAUUGAAAAUCCAUAGGUCGCCAGUUCAACCCUGGUCCCUGGCA
rnacentral:tRNA from 2 species